AUACGGAGGGUGCAAGCGUUAAUCGGAAUUACUGGGCGUAAAGGGUACGUAGGCGGUUAGAUAAGUUGGAUGUGAAAGCCCUGGGCUCAACCUAGGAACUGCAUUCAAAACUGUCUAACUAGAGUGUAUAAGAGGUUAGCGGAAUUCCAGGUGUAGCAGUGAAAUGCGUAGAUAUCUGGAGGAACAUCAGUGGCGAAGGCGGCUAACUGGUAUAACACUGACGCUGAGGUACGAAAGCGUGGGGAGCGAACGGGAUUAGAAACCCUAGUAGUCC
rnacentral:rRNA from 1 species